rnacentral:rRNA from 1 species
GGAUAACCGCUGAAAGCAUCUAAGCGGGAAGCCUGCUCCAAGAUAAGCAUUCCAUAGGACUACGGGUCCUUGAAGUCCCCAUGCAGAACACGUGGUUGAUAGGCCGGACGUGGAAGCCCCGCGAGGGGUGGAGCCGACCGGUACUAACGGACGAAAGGCA